rfam:Schistosoma rodhaini strain Burundi genome assembly, scaffold: SROB_scaffold0003366
AUUUAGCUGACAAGUCCCAAAUAGGACGAAACGCGUAUUCUGGAU